rnacentral:rRNA from 1 species
UACGGGGGGGGCAAGCGUUGUUCGGAAUUACUGGGCGUAAAGGGCUCGUAGGCGGCCAACUAAGUCAGACGUGAAAUCCCCAGGCUUAACCUGGGAACUGCGUCUGAUACUGGAUGGCUUGAAUCCGGGAGAGGGAUGCAGAAUUCCAGGUGUAGCGGUGAAAUGCGUAGAUAUCUGGAAGAACACCCGUGGCGAAAGCGGCUCUCUGGAACGGUACUGACGCUGAGACGCGAAAGCGUGGGGAGCGAACAGG